UUGGAGGGCAAGUCUGGUGCCAGCAGCCGCGGUAAUUCCAGCUCCAAUAGCGUAUAUUAAAGUUGUUGCAGUUAAAAAGCUCGUAGUUGAAUUUCGGGGUCAGUAGGUUGGUCAUGCCACUGGUAUGUACUGGUCUCACUGAUUCCUCCUUCCCGAUGAACUGUAAUGCCAUUAAUUUGGUGUUGCAGGAAAUCUGGACUGUUACUUUGAAAAAAUUAGAGUGUUUAAAGCAGGCUAACGCCUGAAUACAUUAGCAUGGAAUAAUGAAAUAGGACGUUCGAUCCUAUUUUGUUGGUUUCUAGGAUUGACGUAAUGAUUAAUAGGGAUAGUUGGGGGCAUUAGUAUUCAAUUGUCAGAGGUGAAAUUCUUGGAUUUAUUGAAGACUAACUACUGCGAAAGCAUUUGCCAAGGAUGUUUUCAUUAAUCAAGAACGAAAGUUAGGGGAUCGAAGACGAUCAGAUACCGUCGUAGUCUUAACCAUAAACUAUGCCGACUAGGGAUCGGAUGAUGUUAAUUUUUUAAUGACUCAUUCGGCGCCUUACGGGAAAC
rnacentral:rRNA from 1 species